AUCUACCCAAGACACUGGGUGUCAGACUGAUUUAGCUGCAAGAAUGCACUUGUCCAGGCUGACGUGAAACCUUCCCUGUAGCAAAGCCAGCCAGAAUGGAGUUCACAGCCGCAGUGUGUCUGGUGACCCACGGGGACCAUGAUGAAAAUUCAUCUUCCAGAAGGUCCCAGAGCAGCGGCCACACCCCCUGAAAAGACCAAGGUGUGAGGUGUCUGCUGUUGAUUCCAGCUUCCACCUCAGUGACAGUGCAAGCUCAGUGAACUGUUCAAGCCUGGCUGAUCACCUGAUAACUCCUGUCAUCUGGUUAUGACAGCAUGAGGAUGUCCUCACACACACCUGUACUCACACACACCUGUAACCUAUCAGCUCAUCUGGCAGAAUAGAGAGAGAAGAGACACCACAUCUCCUGUUCCUGGAAAGCCUUCAGCCAUCCUUCGAUGACUGAGAACCUCCAUCAGCUCUGUCUCCUGUCUGCCCACAAUUAUUAUAAUAAAUAUUGUGUUUGACAAGUUU